rnacentral:rRNA from 1 species
GACGAACGCUGGCGGCGUGCUUAACACAUGCAGGUCGAACGGAAAGGCCCUGCUUUUGUGGGGUGCUCGAUUGGCGAACGGGUGAGUAACACGUGAGUAACCUGCCCUUGACUUUGGGAUAACUUCAGGAAACUGGGGCUAAUACCGGAUAGGAGCUCCUGCUGCAUGGUGGGGGUUGGAAAGUUUCGGCGGUUGGGGAUGGAUUCGCGGCUUAUCAGCCUGUUGGUGGGGUAGGGGCUUACCAAGGCUUUGACGGGUACCCGGCCUGAGAGGGUGACCGGCCACAAUGGGACUGAGAUACGGACCAGACUCCUACGGGAGGCAGAAGUGGGGAAUAUUGCACAAUGGGCGGAAGCCUGAUGCAGAAACGCCGCGUGCGGGAUGACGGCCUUCGGGUUGUAAAACGCUUUCGCCUGUGACGAAGCGUGAGUGACGGUAAUGGGUAAAGAAGCACCGGCUAACUACGUG